CCAUGCAUUCUGAACAUUUGGCGUCUUCUUUUGCCUAAUCAGAAAUUUCGCCUUCUUGCAAACAUAAUGUCGUGGGUAGAUGAUGUAUCAACAUUACCCCCAUUAUCUCCGUUAUGCUAAGAUUUAAAUUUACCCUUCUGCUACUCCCUUCAUGUCCGCUGUCAGAUUAAUUAUUCAAUAUCAUGAAUCUCCUUCAUCUUCUUGUUCCCCAAACCCAGCUGCUGCUACCAGAGUCAGGAGCCAUAGAAUCAAACUACUUCCACACUCAGUAUCCAGCCGGCAGCCACUGUGCAACAAGCCCUUGCGAACCUGAAUAAUAUCACACUGCUAGCAAGUGAAUAAGGUAAUCCUUUUACACUGGAAAAGCCACAAUGAUCAACCAACGAAAAGCACCCAAGCUGCUUUAUCUUCUUGUUAUUUAAAUCUUCAUUUUCCUUAUCGUGUUAGUCUUCUUUAACAAUUUUCUGGAAAAAUGCUUCGUCUCUGCAAAUAGUCCAGUUGUUCAAUAAGAUUCCUCCAAACAAUAAGAAGAAGGCCAAAAGACUUAUUCCCACCUAAAUUUAGUGCAAAUGUAAUCUCAUAUCCGUUAACUUUCGAAAAUCUUAAUACUUACUUAUUUAUUAAAUUUUACUGUUACUAUUAGAGGCCCUUUAAUUCCAGUUUUUAAAGAUUACCUUAGUAAUCUAUCUUUUA